AUUGAACGCUGGCGGCAUGCCUUACACAUGCAAGUCGAACGGUAACAGGUCUUCGGAUGCUGACGAGUGGCGAACGGGUGAGUAGUACAUCGGAACGUGCCUAGUAGUGGGGGAUAACUACUCGAAAGAGUGGCUAAUACCGCAUGAGAUCUACGGAUGAAAGCAGGGGAUCGCAAGACCUUGUGCUACUAGAGCGGCCGAUGGCAGAUUAGGUAGUUGGUGGGAGAAAAGCUUACCAAGCCGACGAUCUGUAGCUGGUCUGAGAGGACGAUCAGCCACCCGGGGACUGAGACACGGCCCAGACUCCUACGGGAGGCAGCAGUGGGGAAUUUUGGACAAUGGGCGAAAGCCUGAUCCAGCAAUGCCGCGUGCAGGAUGAAGGCCUUCGGGUUGUAAACUGCUUUUGUACGGAACGAAAAGCCCCGGGUUAAUACCCUGGGGUCAUGACGGUACCGUAAGAAUAAGCACCGGCUAACUACGUGCCAGCAGCCGCCGUAA
rnacentral:rRNA from 1 species